UACGUAGGGUGCAAGCGUUGUCCGGAAUUAUUGGGCGUAAAGAGCUCGUAGGCGGUCUGUCGCGUCGGAUGUGAAAAUCCAGGGCUCAACCCUGGACCUGCAUUCGAUACGGGCAGACUAGAGUUCGGUAGGGGAGUGUGGAAUUCCUGGUGGAGCGGUGAAAUGCGCAGAUAUCAGGAGGAACACCCGUAGCGAAGGCGGCACUCUGGGCCGGAACUGACGCUGAGGAGCGAAAGCGUGGGGAGCGAACAGG
rnacentral:rRNA from 1 species